AAAACAUGCGGAGAGUUGGUCUACCGAGCAAUAUCACAUGCUCAGUGGAAGAUCUUCCCUUUAUCGU
rnacentral:pre_miRNA from 1 species